rfam:Sus scrofa chromosome 7.
UUUUUAGUAUAAGUAUGUCCCAUGCAAUACUUGGGAUAUACUUGUACUAAAA